UACGUAGGGUGCAAGCGUUAAUCGGAAUUACUGGGCGUAAAGCGUGCGCAGGCGGUUUUGUAAGUCUGACGUGAAAUCCCCGGGCUCAACCUGGGAAUUGCGAUGGAGACUGCAAGGCUAGAAUCUGGCAGAGGGGGGUAGAAUUCCACGUGUAGCAGUGAAAUGCGUAGAGAUGUGGAGGAAAACCGAUGGCGAAGGCAGCCCCCUGGGUCAAGAUUGACGCUCAUGCACGAAAGCGUGGGGAGCAAACAGG
rnacentral:rRNA from 1 species